GAGUUUGAUCCUGGCUCAGAACGAACGCUGGCGGCAGGCCUAACACAUGCAAGUCGAACGCCGUAGCAAUACGGAGUGGCAGACGGGUGAGUAACGCGUGGGAACCUUCCCUAUGGUUCGGAAUAGCUCAGGGAAACCUGGGGUAAUACCGGAUAAGCCCUUCGGGGAAAGAUUUAUCGCCAUUGGAUGGGCCCGCGUAGGAUUAGCUAGUUGGUGAGGUAACGGCUCACCAAGGCGACGAUCCUUAGCUGGUCUGAGAGGAUGAUCAGCCACACUGGGACUGAGACACGGCCCAGACUCCUACGGGAGGCAGCAGUGGGGAAUAUUGGACAAUGGGCGAAAGCCUGAUCCAGCAAUGCCGCGUGAGUGAAGAAGGCCUUCGGUUGUAAG
rnacentral:rRNA from 1 species